CCUACGGGAGGCUGCAGUGAGGAAUAUUGGUCAAUGGGCGCGAGCCUGAACCAGCCAAGUCGCGUGAGGGAAGACGGUCCUAUGGAUUGUAAACCUCUUUUGUCGGGGAGCAAAAGACGCCACGCGUGGCGUUCCGAGAGUACCCGAAGAAAAAGCAUCGGCUAACUCGGUGCCAGCGGCCGCGGUAAUACGGAGGAUGCGCGCGUUAUCCGGUUUUAUUGGGUUUAAAGGGUGAGCAGGCGGAAGAUCAAGUCAGCGGUAAAAGUGAGAGGCUCAACCUCUUCGAGCCGUUGAAACUGGUUUUCUUGAGUGAGCGAGAGGUAUGCGGAAUGCGUGGUGUAGCGGUGAAAUGCAUAGAUAUCACGCAGAACUCCGAUUGCGAAGGCAGCAUACCGGCGCUCAACUGACGCUGAUGCACGAAAGUGUGGGUAUCGAACAGGAUUAGAUACCCCGGUAGUC
rnacentral:rRNA from 1 species